GUUGAUGGAAGCACAACCUUCCAGUCUGCCACAGUUGCUGUAGUGGGUCAAGGAUUCUUAGCGAGGGGUGUCACCUUCGAAAACACGGCUGGUCCCUCAAAGCACCAAGCAGUGGCACUAAGGGCUGGGGCUGAUCUUGCAGCUUUCUACGAAUGUGAUAUGCUAGCUUACCAAGACACCCUCUAUGUCCACUCCAAUCGUCAAUUUUUCAUAAACUGCUUAAUUGCAGGAACGGUUGAUUUUAUUUUUGGCAAUUCAGCAGCCGUUUUCCAGGACUGCGACAUCCAUGCUCGUAAACCCAAUUCAGGCCAGAAAAAUAUGGUCACAGCCCAAGGCAGGACUGACCCUAAUCAGAACACCGGCAUUGUAAUUCAAAAGAGUAGAAUUGGUUCCACUUCAGAUCUGAGACCUGUCCAGAGCAGCUUCCCAACUUAUCUUGGAAGGCCCUGGAAGGAGUAUUCAAGAACUGUUAUAAUGCAAUCAGAUAUCAGUGACGUGAUACACCCUGCUGGAUGGCACGAGUGGAAUGGGGAUUUUGCACUGAGCACAUUGUUUUAUGGAGAGUAUCAAAACACUG
rnacentral:misc_RNA from 1 species